rnacentral:rRNA from 1 species
UCCUGGCUCAGGACGAACGCUGGCGGCGUGCUUAACACAUGCAAGUCGAACGGUGAUGAGGGGCUUGCCCUUCUGAUCAGUGGCGAACGGGUGAGUAACACGUGAGUAACCUGCCCUUCACUCUGGGAUAACGCUGGGAAACCGGUGCUAAUACUGGAUAUGACCUACUCGGGCAUCCGAUGUGGGUGGAAAGAUUUAUUGGUGGGGGAUGGACUCGCGGCCUAUCAGCUUGUUGGUGAGGUAAUGGCUCACCAAGGCGACGACGGGUAGCCGGCCUGAGAGGGCGAUCGGCCACACUGGGACUGAGACACGGCCCAGACUCCUACGGGAGGCAGCAGUGGGGAAUAUUGCACAAUGGGCGAAAGCCUGAUGCAGCGACGCCGCGUGAGGGAUGAAGGCCUUCGGGUUGUAAACCUCUUUCAGCAGGGAAGAAGCGCCUGGGUUUUCUUGGGUGUGACGGUACCUGCAGAAGAAGCACCGGCUAACUACGUGCCAGCAGCCGCGGUAAUACGUAGGGUGCAAGCGUUGUCCGGAAUUAUUGGGCGUAAAGAGCUUGUAGGCGGUUUGUCGCGUCUGCUGUGAAAUUUCGGGGCUCAACCCCGAACUUGCAGUGGGUACGGGCAGACUAGAGUGUGGUAGGGGAGACUGGAAUUCCUGGUGUAGCGGUGAAAUGCGCAGAUAUCAGAGGAACACCGAUGGCGAAGGCAGGUCUCUGGGCCACUACUGACGCUGAGAAGCGAAAGCAUGGGAGCGAACAGGAUUAGAUACCCUGUAGUCCAUGCCGUAACGUUGGGAACUAGUGUGGGCCUCAUUCCACGAGGUCCGUGCCGCAGCUAACGCAUUAAGUUCCCCGCCUGGGGGAGUA